CACUAUGAGGAAUGGGAGGGAAGGAAAUAAAAUUCAUCCUCAUUCAUCUGACUGCAAUAAUAGGUAUCGCCUAUGCAUUUAUAAGUGCACUGCUGUUAACAUGAUCUCUCUUCCAGCAAUACUGCAUCUCUCCCCAGUUUGAAGUGGGCAGUGGCUGCUACUAGGCUGGUCACAUCUGUUGCUUCUGCUAAUAGACCCUUCAUCAGCAAGCAGCAAAUCCUCCACAGAAAGAGACUAGUCAGGAACAUAGAUGGAGCACAUCUGGAGUGCAACAAAAUUACCCCAUUCACCUAUGAGUCGGAGGUAUUUCCAACACCAUGAAGAAUGAACCCUAGUGAAAGGGGUUUGAGUGAAGCACUGGUCUUACCAUGCAUAGUUAAGUCCAACUCAGGCUUCCUGCAGAAUAAAAGAAUCUCAGCUGUCUUGGAGAAUGAGACACUAUGAUUUUUUCACACUCUCAGUUCAUGUGUAGAGGAUUCAGCAACCGUAUCUAGUGGUUUUUUUCUGAUCAGAAUUCCUCACCCAGAACAAGCUGGACUCAUGAAAAAUGUUUACCCCCCCCCCCACUAAAUCUGCAGAAAAAAAUUAAUCCCCCCUUUGGGGGGAGGGGGGUGAUCAGCAAUUUACCCAUCUUCAUGGUCAACAAAUCUAGAUUUAGCAUCAAGGUAGAGUAUUUUCUGCACACACAUAACAAAUAUUAAAGGCCAUCAUUUAUUAGAAUCACCAUCACAGCUGAUCCUAAUUCAGGAAUGUAUUUCAGCAGUGAAACAAGGUCACACUAUCAAAACGCUGAUGGUAAAAAUGCUUUGGAGUCUUCAGGUAUCUUAAUGAGGCUUUGAUUUAAUGUGAUGAGAAACAAACAAAGAAAAAACCCACCUCUCCAAAAUGACAGUCUUUGGUGGAAGCUUAGUUCAUGUUACUGAUUACCACUUUGGAGUGAUUGAGCCUGAGUUUCACAGUUACAUAGAGCUCUCUGUUACCUGCUUGAUUAAUGUAACUGAGGCCAUGCCUCAGGCAGUGUUUUUCAGGCUUGAUUACAUGGGCUUUUUCACAAGCUUAGUGUCUUUCAUGUGGCUCCAUGCGUACUGUAGUUGGAGAUUGAGUGUGCACUGGCUUCAAGAGAAUAAGACUGUAAACUUAACACUAUUAUCACAUAUGCAAUAGUACUGAGCUGGCAGGAGGGGAGAUCAGACAAAGUUA